CCUAAAAAGCUCUAUAGAAAAGAAGACCGAAGCUCCACUUUCUCUGUCCCUCUUCUCGAUUCUCUCUGCAAAAGCUCCAUUACUUUAUCAAAUUUCUCAAAUUGAACUUUUCACUUUUGUUUAAUCGCAAGAUAUGAACCUAAUUUGUGAAACCCAAAAGCCCUAACACCAUUUGUUUUCUCAAUUACUCAAACCCCAAAUCCUUUUGGGUGUUAAAUGUAGUUAGCGAGAGUGACUAUUUCAUCUAUUUUACCUCUAAUUUCUUUAACUCGCACGAAAUCUACAGGGGGUAAAAAGUAAUUUUUCCAAUAAUAUCAUCGUGUAAAGCCCUUCUCGGUGUUGACGUUCUCUUUCGCUGGGGACGAGGUUCUUAAACAAUGGAGACAACCAAGGAUGGGCUCCAAGGCACAUAGUAUUUUGUUCUUUUGGGAUGUAUAUGCAUACAAUGAGAAUGAAGUAUUAUGCAUUAUAUAUGUAAUUCACAUUUUAGUAACAGAAGUAUUUAAAAUCCGACUUAAGAAA